UUUAAGUCUGGUGGUUGAUUAGCAACAGGUGCUCGGAUGACUGGCAGCACACCUGGAACUAAAGACAGGCUUCGGACAAUCCACUACACAAAUUGGCGUCACGAAUAGGAUGGUCCAGAACUCUGCAAGUCAACAUCCGCUCCCGGCUUCUCUCUCAGGCAGACAAUGGUUGCAUGCACGCAUCUAAUAAAAGUUCCUCUGUGCAGAUUUGAGGAUGAAAGCAGCCACUCCAGAUUCCCUUGCACUCGCUGAGAGGGGCACGGUCAAAGCCAAUCCAGGACCAACACCCGAUACCUGACUGGAAGGAACCGAGAGGAGAGACAACACCUUGCCAGCGAUGACGAGAACGACUAAGGUUGCCAGCCAAUAUGUGUCCGUCGGGACUCCAGCAGCUGUGGAAAGAGGUGUCGGGAGUGCCGAAGCAGCGAGGAGGCCUUGAAGCAAGCCGAGGGCCUGGACCAAAGCCCAAACGCCCCAUACUCUACCCCAGCCUUCCCGAAAGCCCCCACAGCUCCAACUCUACCUCAAUUUUCCCCAAAGCGGCCAGCGCGCACAUGCCAUUAAACAGUCUGCCCAAUGGACUGGGCCACACCUCUAGAAGAGACAAAUACAGACUGUUUGAGUGGAUCUCUUUCUUCACCAAGGCAGCCAAAAGCCCAACGAGGUGUUGGCAGGCCACCAGCCUGAGGCACCACCGAGCAUCUAUACGAGCACUAAUCGAACAUGGACUCAUACGAAAAUCAGUUGUGUGUUCAAAAUCAAUUGGUAAUUAACAAUAUUGGUAACUACAUUCAUUUCAAAUGCCGGGAACAUUUUUUUUGCAAAUGUCUUACAGUCAUAAGUCUAUAUACAUUCAUCUAAUUAUGUUCAUGAUCAAAGUAUUUGUUAUUCCUUUACUAAAUCAAAGGGUAGGCCACUAAUUAUGUUCUGUGAGAUGGUUUUACUGCAGGCUGGUAACAGCGAUCGCUCUGAAGGAGGGUCAUAGACGGAAUUUUUGCCUCGUAUAAAAACAUUGAGGUUUUUGCCUCUAUCUGUGGUAGAGAUUUAACUUAGUGGUCUACGUCAGAAAUUGGUAUGGUCCAGGGUCGUAGGACCCUGGAAGGAGGGUAUGUCGUAGAAUUUCUGACCUUUUGACCUAUAUUUCUUGUCUAUUAAGAAUGUCUGCUCAUUUUCAUUUCUCUUCUAUUUUGUGCCGUUGAAUGGACCAGUUGUGGGACAAAGGUGAAUAUAGAGUUAUGCCAACCUGUCUACAGAAUGUUUAGAUUUUCCAAAUAUGACUAAGAGAUACGAGGUUGUUUUGGAACAGACAAACCAAAACAAAACAAUCAUGACGCACAAGAUAAAAACAGUGACGCACAAGAGACAUAUAAAAAAUGACAGAAGACCGGGACUCCAGAGUGAUUUUGGCUUGUGUGUGUCUUGUGUGCUCUGGAGUACUUUUUGUCUGCUUGCACGGACAACUCAAUUCAACCUGCACUUCUGAUAAUGGGUAAAUAAAUUUGUUGUACUAAACUACUUUUGUUGCCUGCUUAAGCU